CAGUCGCCGCGGUAAUACGAAGAGGGCUAGCGUUGCUCGGAAUUACUGGGCGUAAAGGGCGCGUAGGCGGACAUUUAAGUCAGAGGUGAAAGCCCAGGGCUCAACCUUGGAACUGCCUUUGAUACUGGGUGUCUAGAGUGCGGGAGAGGUGUGUGGAACUCCGAGUGUAGAGGUGAAAUUCGUAGAUAUUCGGAAGAACACCAGUGGCGAAGGCGACACACUGGCCCGUAACUGACGCUGAGGCGCGAAAGCGUGGGGAGCAAACAGGAUUAGAUACCCCUGUAGUCCCUGUCUCUUAUAC
rnacentral:rRNA from 1 species